UGGUUAGCCAAGCCCCUACCCGUCCGACCUCCCCUUUUCCAUUACUAUCCCCAAGAUGUUCUCAUUAUGCUCACUGGUGAUUCGGAAUCGUCUACAUGUUUACAGGCUUGAUGACGGACCGGCGCCCCGUCCAGGGUUGGUUCUCGAUGAUUAAGUGAUUUUGUUUUCAUAGGAAUUAUGAACUGGCCAAAGGUGGAGGUGGAUGGAUAGAGUAAAGAGAGACUUGAGGUAAAAGGAUUUAAUUGAGGAGGAGGUAGAGGACCAAGCUGUAUGGGGACGGUCAUUCAAAGACAUCAACACCACACAGAUCUGGGAAAAGAUGAAGAAAAAGCGGAGUCAGAGCCUGUCCUGGCAACAUGGGACACAAGUCAAGAACAGUUCAUCACCAAGCUACGGCCCUCCUAAUUGAAAAUGCAGUCGUCAUAAUAUUGUACAAAGGAGACAGUGAAAUUCACAUGUGCAUAUCCAACUGACACGCAGUACUCUUUGGCGCUAUGAUAAAUAAAAAUGUCUUAAAAUGCAA